rnacentral:rRNA from 1 species
GACGAACGCUGGCGGCGUGCCUAAUACAUGCAAGUCGAACGCAGUGGGGACGGGUGAGUAACACGUGGGUAACCUCCCAUCAGAGGGGAUAACACUUGGAAACAGGUGCUAAACCGAUACUGAUGGAUGGACCCGUGGUGCAUUAGCUAGUUGGUGAGGUAACGGCUCACCAAGGCCACGAUGCAUAGCGGGUCUGAGAGGGUGAUCGGCCACACUGGGACUGAGACACGGCCCAGACUCCUACGGGAGGCAGCAGUAGGGAAUCUUGGACAAUGGGCGAAAGUCUGACGGAGCAACGCCGCGUGGAUGAAGAAGGUUUUCGGGUUGUAAAGCACUUUUGGUAGAGAGGCGUUAUCUAACGAGAAAGCAACGGCUAACUACGUGCCAGCAGCCGCGGUAAUAC